AUCCAACUGACGAGUCUCAAAUAGGACGAAACGCGUGUCCUAGAU
rnacentral:hammerhead_ribozyme from 1 species